CCUCAUCUUCCGAGACAAUCACCAUGUUUGCUGUGAAAGUAGUUUGCCUCUUUGCCACCAUCGCUAUGCUUGCUGCAAUGGUGGCUGCGGACCCUCAGAAUGAAAAUUAUUGUGUGUUUGACUAUGAUGGCAAUCCCAGGUGUUAAAAAAGAUAAAGAGACGCCAGGAAUCCCCUCAAGACUUUAAUCAUUAAAAACACUAUGUAUUCAAAUUUUAAUAAAGUAGUCAUGCACACUUAUUCCUUGUGUCUUGAAUUGUCAAUCCAGAUUUAUAACAUAGAUUUGUCACUCCACCAUGAUGGCUCUUGUGGAUUCUUUUGAUUUCAGACAAUUUCCUCUGAAUAAUCAUAAUGGCUGUUAUAGAACUACUGGAAGCACCUUGCAUUAAAGUUCUAUAGUGAG